rnacentral:rRNA from 1 species
AUUGAACGCUGGCGGCAUGCUUUACACAUGCCAGUCGAACGGCAGCGCGGGCUUCGGCCUGGCGGCGAGUGGCGAACGGGUGAGUAAUGCAUCGGAACGUGCCCAGUAGUGGGGGAUAGCCCGGCGAAAGCCGGAUUAAUACCGCAUACGACCUGAGGGUGAAAGUGGGGGACCGAAAGGCCUCGCGCUAUUGGAGCGGGCGAUGUCGGAUUAGCUAGUUGGUGGGGUAAAGGCUUACCAAGGCGACGAUCCGUAGCUGGUCUGAGAGGACGACCAGCCACACUGGGACUGAGGCACGGCCCAGACUCCUACGGGAGGCAGCAGUGGGGAAUUUUGGACAAUGGGGGCAACCCUGAUCCAGCCAUGCCGCGUGCGGGAAGAAGGCCUUCGGGUUGUAAACCGCUUUUGUUCGGGAAGAAAUCCUCUGGGCUAAUACCCCGGGGGGAUGACGGUACCGGAAGAAUAAGCACCGGCUAACUACGUG